GUCCUUUUGCUGUAAUGAAUAACUGUGAGUCCUUCUACUGAAUCGUCAAACCUGAGGACUGUCUUGACAACAGGGCUUUUUGCAGCAAAUGUGUAUUUGUGCUAGAUGGACUGUUGCUCCCAGCUUUUUACCACCUCCCGCCACGCCCUUUUGCCGUGUGACUUUGGGCACCUGCCCUGGAGUAGACCAAGUCUGUCCCCACCUGCUCGAGGCUGCAUGGCCAGUGGAUAUCAGCAGAGAUCAUGCAAGAGAAGGCCUAAUGCGAGACACCAGCACCCCAGAGCAGCAAAGCCCUGGGUAGCUACUAAUCCCAGAAUGGGUGGGUAGAGUAAACGUGAGCCCCACCCACAGAUGAAGCUGCUGAGGCCUGCGUGGUCCACUGGCCCUGCUGUUUUCAGACCCAUCUGCACCCCUUUCUCCGGCUCACUGUAGACCAGUCAUUCUGAAAGAGCCCAUGAAAAACACCAAGUUCUCUCCUGCCUCAGGACUUUGUACCUGCUGCUUCAGUGCCUGGAAUACUGACUCCUUCCCAUGAAAAACACCAAGUUCUCUCCUGCCUCAGGACUUUGUACCUGCUGCUUCAGUGCCUGGAAUACUGACUCCUUCCCAUGAAAAACACCAAGUUCUCUCCUGCCUCAGGACUUUGUGCCUGCUGCUUCAGUGCCUGGAAUACUCAUUCCUUCCAUUGUUUGCACAAGCACCGCCAGGGGGUGGGGCUCACAGAGGCGCACUGCGGCAGGAACUGGAUGUGGGUGUCAAGGUGGUCACAGAACAGACGGCUGGGUCAGCUCCCCAAGGAGAAGCCCUGAGCUGCCCAACAGGUCCCUCUUAGGCCCCACACUUCAGAGGCAGGGCUGCCACGCAUGCCUCCUGGAUCACCUCUUGGUGUCCCAUGGCCCCUGUGGGGCUCCUACCUGGCACAUCCUCACCUCCAGGCUCCCCCGGCUCCAACUCAGCAGGGAGGUGGGAGGUUGACGGGAGCAGGCAGGCAUGGGAGGGCUCAGCCGGGGUAUGAGGGGUGGGCAGAGUCCCCCCACCUGGCUCACCCUUUCUCUUCCUCUCCUCCUCUGGGCACCUUCUUUGACUCCCACAGGCUCCUAGCUCAGACCUCUCCACUCUUCCUGGCUUUCCUUCAGGGAGGUCAGGAAAGUCAGGGACCCGUGGAUAAAGACCAGGAGAACACAAUGUAAGUAUCUGGGCAAAGAACCUCUUAGGCAGAGGGCUUGGCGAGUGCAGAGCCCCAGGGACCUGUGCAGGGCCUGAUCAAGACCCUUGGAGGAGUCCAGGGGUGGCUAGAGUGCAGCAAGCAGGGGAGGGACUGGAGUAGCCAUAGAAGGGACCAGGACAGACUGAGCCCCAAACGUCCCCCUUGCCUGGCCCAGCCCAUGUGUUUCCGGUAUUGGUGGGUUCUUGGUCUCACUGACUUCAAGAAUGAAGCUGUGGACCCUGGCAAUGAGUGUUACAGCUCUUAAAGGCAGCGUGUCCGGAGUUUGUUCCUUCUGAUGUUCAGAUGUGUUCGGAGUUUUUUCCUUCUGGUGGGGUUCGUGGUCUCACUGGCUCAGGAGUGAAGCUGCGGACCUUCGCGGUGAGUGUCACAACUCUUAAGGUGGUGCGUCUGGAGUUGUUCGUUCCUCCCGGUGGGUUCGCGGUCUCACUGGCUUCAAGAGUGAAGCUGCAGACCUUCAACAAAUGAGUGUUACAGCUCGUAAACACGGUGUGGACCCAAAGACUAAAAGAACAAAGCUUCCACAAUGUGGUAAGGGUACCCCAGCGGGUUGCCGCUCCUGGCUCGGGCAGCCUUCUUUUAUUCUCUUAUCUGACCCCACCCACAUCCUGCUGAUUGGUAGAGCCGAGUGGUCUGUUUUCACAGGGUGCUGAUUGGUGUGUUUACAAUCCCUGAGCUAGACACAAAGGUUCUUCACGUCCCCGCCAGAUUAGCUAGAUACAUUGUCGAUUGGUGCAUUCACAAACCCUGAGCUAGACACAGGGUGCUGAUUGGUGUGUUUACGAACCUUGAGCUAGAUACAGAGUACCGAUUGGUGAAUUUACAAUCCCUUAGCUAGACAUAAAGGUUCUCCACGUCCCCACCAGACUCAGGAGCCCAGCUGGCUUCACCCAGUGAAUGUGGAGCUGCCUGCCAGUCCCGCACCGUGCACCCGCACUCCUCAGCCCUUGGGUGGUUGAUGGGACUAGGCGCCGUGGAGCGGGGGCGGCGCUCGUCAGGGAGGCUCGGGCUGCACAGGAGCCCACGGAGGAGCGGGGGAGGCUCAGGCAUGGCGGGCUGCAGGUUCCGAGCCCCGCCCCGCGGGAAUGCAGCUAAGGCCCGGCGAGAAAUUGAGCACAGCAGCUGCUGGCCCAGGUGCUAAGCCCCUCACUGCCUGUGGCCGGUGGGGCCGGCUGGCUGCUCCGAGUGCAGGGUCCGCCGAGCCCACGAACCCCACCAGAAGGAAGAAACUCUGAACACGUCCGAACAUCAGAAGGAACAAACUCCAGACACACCGCCUUUAAGAACUGUAACACCGCGAGGGUCCGCGGCUUCAUUCCUGAAGUCAGUGAGAUCAAGAACCCACCAAUUCCGGACACACAUGGGGAUGCUAGGCCAAAACCCGAGCAGAAAAGCGUAGGCGAGCAGCUGGCAGCCACCAUCGCAUUUGCUCCCGGAAGGCAAGAGGAGGCAGAGAAAAUUCCAGAACCCAUUUAAGCGUCUGGGACCCUGAGGAUCCGUAUUCAUUUCCCGUGGGCUCAAGCCCAGCCUCCGCGGGCGGCGCGGGCCCUCGCGGCGAGUGUCCACGAGGAGGCGGUGUGGACCCGCGGCCCCAGACCAGGCCUCAGGCAGAAGGCGAGCGCGAGCGCCCCGCCCAGCCCCUCCCCGUCCCGCAACCCGCGCCCCGACCAGCGCCCCCAGCACCUCUCCACCCUCGCUCUCGAGCAGUCUCCACGUUUGUCUCAGAGGAGACCCACUUUGCUCCCCAGCGUGGGCCCCUGAGCGCUGGGGGAAGUUGGUUGGUUUGUUAAUGACAGAGUCUCGCUCUGUUGCCCAGGCUGGAGUGCAAUGGUGCAAUCUCAGCUCACUGCAACCUCCGUCUCCCGGGUUCAAGCGAUUCUCCUGCCUCAGCCUCCCGAGUAGCUGGAAUUACAGUGCACGCCACUACGCCCGGCUAAUUUUUGUAUUUUUAGCAGUGACGGGGUUUUGCCAUGUUGGCCAGGCUGGUCUUUUUUUUUUUUUUUUUAAACUAGAUGUUUCCUUUAUUCAUUCACACACUUAAGUAACAUAGACUUAUAAUUUGUAACAAAUAGAACAGAGGUUACACAUAUAAGACAAAAAUCUUGAGUUUGAAAACUUUAUUAUCUGGCUGUUUUGUCAACAUGAUAAUUUCAUAUACAACCACGUAAAAACAUCUCUGGUGUUUAGAUUUUUCCGUUUAUUCUAGCUGUUUCAUAUUUGUAGACGUAGCCAUGGCAUGUACAGAAUAUGCAUAGCAACAGGACUUUCAUAUAAUAUAGUACAGUUGGAAAAAAACACUAUCUUGCUAGGGAGAUAUGUCAAGUAGAUUCUAGUUUCCACAUUAUUUUGAUUUUACUGUAUUUAACUUUGUAUAUAUUUUACAUGUAUUAAAUGUUUUGAUGAAACAUUUCAAACUCUAUAUUAGAAAUGUUGGCAAACAUUAGUAUCUAUAAAAUAUAAUCUGUAUAUAUUGUAUAAUCUGGAUAUAAAUAUCCAGAAAUCUGUCAUAUUUUUAUACCAAUUACAAUGGUCAAAGUUGACACUAUUCUUAAAUAUACUUAAUGAUUAUCUGGAUUAUCUCCAUAUCUAUUUUUGGCCCUCUUUUGCCAUCCAUACGUGAAGUAUAAUGAUCCUUAUUCUUUAUGGCAUUUUUUUUUUUUUUUUGACGGAGUCUGGCUCUGUCACCCAGGCCAGAGUGUGCAGUGGCGUGAUCUUGGCUCACUGCAAGCUCCACCUCCUGGGUUCACGCUAUUCUCCUGCCUCAGCCUCCUGAGUAGCUGGGACUACAGGCGCCCGCCACUACACCCGGCUAAUUUUUUGUAUUUUUAGUAGAGACGGGGUUUCAGCACGUUAGCCAGGAUGGUCCCGAUCUCCUGACCUCGUGAUCUGCCCGCCUCGGCCUCCCAAAGUGCUGGGAUUACAGGCAUGAGCCACCGCGCCUGGCCCCUAUUUUUAUUUUU
rnacentral:lncRNA from 1 species